rnacentral:lncRNA from 1 species
CUUAUUUUAUUUACGAUUUGAUUUUGACAAAAAAGACAAAAUGAUUAGCAUCCUGAAGAAUUUAUUUGAAAAAGGAAUAUAUUGUUUUGCCCAAUCAGAAACUUUGUUUGAUAUAAUAACACUACAUUUUAAAGUCACGGAUUCGUCAUUAAGACGAAUUGUUGAAUCACAGCAUGAAAUAAUGAGAUAUAAAUGUUUGUUUGCACACCUACCAAUCACUCUGCUUUAUUAUUUUUUACAUUAUUCAAGUACUAAAAUGUCAAAAAGUAUCUUUUUUGUAAUGCUGGCAUCUGCACACCAAAUUGAGCCGCAAAUAUUGCAAGAUCUUCCAAGAUCAAACAACAAACAUGAAUACUACAAGUACAAACGUGACCUCAGUCAUUUGUUGAUUGGAACAAAUUCAGAUGCAGUGGGUGGGUGGCUUGUGUUAGCUUCUUUUUUUUACGUUCAUGAAC